rnacentral:lncRNA from 1 species
GUUCCUCAACCUAUGUGACUGCACUCCAGACCCCGCGACCGCAUUGAACAAAUCACCAUCAGGGAUCCAAGGUCCAUUUAACACUAUGCGAUGGCAACACCACGAAUGCGAUCACAGAGAGUAACUUCCCCAACCUAUGUGAUCGCAUGCCCGACUCCGCGAUCGUAUAGCACAAUCAAACAACGCCAAUAAUUCCUUCUAUGCGAUCGCAAAGCCUUUCCUGCGAUCACAUAGAGCAAAACUCUGCAACACUGAACCUGCAAUUUCUGUUACAUUCCAAGUCCAAAAAUCUUCUGUUAGCCAUCCGAAAUCACCCCGAGGCCCCCGGGACGUCAACCAAAA